UAGGGAAUCUUCCGCAAUGGACGCAAGUCUGACGGAGCAACGCCGCGUGAGUGAAGAAGGACUUCGGUUCGUAAAACUCUGUUGUUAGAGAAGAACAGCGCAUAGAGUAACUGUUAUGCGUGUGACGGUAUCUAACCAGAAAGCCACGGCUAACUACGUGCCAGCAGCCGCGGUAAUACGUAGGUGGCAAGCGUUGUCCGGAUUUAUUGGGCGUAAAGCGAGCGCAGGCGGUCAAUUAAGUCUGAUGUGAAAGCCCCCGGCUCAACCGGGGAGGGUCAUUGGAAACUGGUUGACUUGAGUGCAGAAGAGGGGAGUGGAAUUCCAUGUGUAGCGGUGAAAUGCGUAGAUAUAUGGAGGAACACCAGUGGCGAAGGCGACUCUCUGGUCUGUAACUGACGCUGAGGCUCGAAAGCGUGGGUAGCAAACAGG
rnacentral:rRNA from 1 species